rnacentral:lncRNA from 1 species
CCUCAGACGUGCCUGAAAAACGUGCCAGACACGCCGGAACCACAUCCUGGACAGAUUGGAACCACCUUCCGGACAUGCCGGAACCACCUUACGAGCACGCUGGAACCACCUGCUUGACUCACUGGAACCAUCUGCCAGAUACGCCAAAAUCACCUGCCGGCUACGCCAGAACCACUUGGCCGACACUCCGGAAUAACCUGCCGUGCAUGCCGGAACCGCCCCUCAGAUGGGCCAGAACCACGUGCUGGACGCCUCGGACCACUUCCGUGAAAGACCGGAACCACCUGCUGAGCAUGCCAGAAACACCUGCUCGACUCCCGGGAACCGCCUCUGGGGAAACUGUCAUAGAAAUGCAGGUCAAAUGGCCUUUCUUGCCAAGCCUUAACUCGCCACUUUAGAACUUCUGCUUCUGCCGCAGUUCCACCUUGCCAACCCGGCUCAGACGAAACGCCUACAUCUUCCCCUUAAGCAACUGGGCUGACUCCCAAAUGAUUGAGCGUCCACGUGCUUAGGAGGCAAUAGACUGCAAGCCUUUUUCCAACCACCAUUGUGCACUGCUGGAGAGAGUGUCGGAAAGCAGCAAUGUCAGAAAGACCCCUUUGCUCUCAGCCGUGCCCUCCAUUGCACUAGACGUGGAAUGCACAAUGCACUGGCUCCACCCCUCAAGGGGUGACAAGCCACAGACCACCUUGCUUCCAUCUCUUUAGGAAGCUGAGAAGGAACUCGCUUUCAACACUGAUCUUACAGCGUCCAGGGAACAUCUCAUACAAAGGCAGCUGAACGCCGUUUCUUCCAGCACUUCACUCGCCAAUCUGGAACAUCUGCAUGUGCCACAUUUCCACCUUGUCAACCCGGCUCAGACGAAAUGCCUACAACUUCCCCUUAAGCAAUGGGGAUGAGGCCCGAAUGAUUGUGGUUCCACCUGCUUAGUAGGAGAGAGACAAUAGGCUUUUAACCAACCGCCCUUGAGCAAUGGUUGGGGGAGCGUCAGAAAGCACCAAUGUCAGAAAGGGCCCUUUGCUAUCAGCCGUGCCCUCCAUUGCUCUAGAGGUGGAAGGCACAAAGCACUGCCUCCAUCCUACAAUGGGAGACAAGCCAUAAACUGUCUUGCCUCCAGCUCUUUAGGAAGCUGACAAACAACUCGCUUUCCACAGUGCUGUUAGCGCAUACCAGGAACCUCUCAUACAAAGGCAGCUCAAAGGCCAUGUCUUCCCAGCCCUUAACUCGCAGCUUUAGGACUUCUGCUUCUGCCGCAAUUGCACCUUGCCAACCCGGCUCAGACGAAAUGCCUACAUCUUCCCCUUAAGCAACUGGGCUGAGUCCCAAAUGAUUGAGCGUCCACGUGCUUAGGAGGCGAUAGACUGCACGCCUUUUUCCAACCACCAUUGUGCACUGCUGGAGAGAGUGUCGGAAAGCAGCUAUGUCCGAAAGACCCCUUUGCUCUCAGCCGUGCCCUCCAUUGCUCUAGACGUGGGAUGCACAAUGCACUUGCUCCACUACUCCAGGGGCGGCAAGCCAUAGACCAUCUUCCUUCCAUCUCUUUAGGAAGCUGAGAAGGAACUCGCUUUCAACAGUGCUCUUUCUGUGUCCUGGCAACAUCUCAUCCAAAGGCAGCUGAUAUGCCGUUUCCUUUCAGCGCUUAACUCUCCGAUUUGGAACUUCUGCUUCUGCCAGAUUUCCACCUGGCCAACCAGGCUCAGACGAAAUGCCUACAUCUUCCCCUUCAGCAAUAGGGACGAGGCCCAGAUGAUUGUGCCUCCACAUGCUUAGCAGGAGCACACAAUAGGCUUUCUACAAACCGCCAUUGUGCACUGGGGCAGAGAGUGUCAGAAUGCACCUAUGUCUGAAAGGGCCCUUUGCUCUCAGCCGUGCCCUCCAUUGCUCUACAGGUGGAAGGCACAAAGCACUGCCUCUAUCCUUCAAUUGGAGACAAGCCAGAAACUGUCCUGCUUCCAGCUCUUUAGGAAGCUGGGCAAGCACUCGCAUUCCACAGUGCUCUUACAGCGUCCUGGGAACAUCUCAUACAAAGGCAGCUGAACGCCGUGUCAUUUCAGCCCUUAACUCACCAUUCUGCAACAUCCACUUCUGCCGCAUUUCCAGCUUGCCAACCCGGCUCAGACGAAAUGCCUCCAUCUUCCCCUUGAGCAAUGGUGACGAGGCCCGGAUGAUUGUGGUUCCACAUGCUGAGGAGGAGACAAACAGUAGGCUUCGAACCAACCACCCUUGAACAAUGGUUGGGGGAGUGUUGGAAAGCACCAAUGUCAGAAAGGCCCUUUACUG